rnacentral:rRNA from 1 species
UACGUAGGGUGCGAGCGUUAAUCGGAAUUACUGGGCGUAAAGUGUGCGCAGGCGGCUCCGCAAGUCGAGUGUGAAAUCCCACGGCUCAACCGUGGAAGUGCACUCGAAACUGCGUAGCUAGAGUCCUGGAGAGGAAGGUGGAAUGCUUGGUGUAGAGGUGAAAUUCGUAGAUAUCAAGCGGAACACCGGUGGCGAAGGCGGCCUUCUGGACAGUGACUGACGCUGAGACGCGAAAGCGUGGGGAGCAAACAGG